ensembl:lncRNA
GCCAGAGUACUGCCCAUGGGAGCUUAUCGCGCCAUGGGUCCAGGAUGUCCGCAGGGUGGACGACCCUUGGAGUCACCGGUGGGAGGACACGGAUGACGAAAGCGAUGAUGACGUGGAUUUUCGGUGGGCGGUCGGUGCCGGGAUGGCUCCGCCCAGCGUGCGCGUCCGAGAUCAUCGCGGCGUCCGUGAUGACCCAUGUGACUUCCGGGGGUACGAGGUUGACACGGACGACGACCAGGAUGACGCCGUUUGGGCAGUCGGUGCCGGGAAGGCUCCGCCCAUCGCGCCCAUCCAGGAUCGUCACGAGGUCCGUGGAGACCCACGUCCCUCCCAGCAGUGUGAGGAAAGCUGGUGGAAGAGGGCGACGGGAGGUCGCCAGCCAGCAACUGCGCUGCCGGGACUGCCUCGCAGGGAAUCCUCCAUUCCUGCUCCAGUCGCCGACCCGCCUUCCCUCUGCCCGGACGUUCCCCAGCAAAAUGGCAGCGCAGCACCAGCGUCCACACCUGCUGGAGAAGACGUCCACCCCCCUCCACACCACACACCUACCACCAUCUCCAGCGACGUGCCCAGCCCCGUGUGGGACCGCCCAAUUGUCCCGGGACCCUUCAGUGGGGCAGCAGACACAGACGAGAUCACUGCCAUCCUCACGUGUCUGACUGGAUCAGCAUGGGGCUGGAGCACAACCCUCUGGCAGCAGGGAGAGACAGACAGGAGUUUUCGGGACUUCCAACAGAGACUGAGGGCGGAGUUUGAUCGGCCUGAGCCAGGGAUCGAACUCUGCCCCUCCACCACAUCCAGUGCCAGUCAGGAUCCGGGGCAAGAAGACCCAGCACUGGUGGGCGACGAGAAGGUCGCUCCUCCCGAGAUCCUGGCUGUGCCCCCUGAGGAGGUCCCGGAGAGCCCAGAGAGGGAGCCAGACGACCCUCUCUUCUGUCUGUCUCUGUCUGUGUGUGUCUGUGUGGCAUAUGUGUCCGUAUGUCGCCCCCACUUCCCCUCUUUGUGUCCACCAGAUGGCGACCCAGCCGCGGAGCCGAACCCCAGGGAGGAGGUUCCUGACCCGAAUGUGCUGGUCCAAGGCGAGGUGGACAAGCCCCAAGGUACCCCUAAGUCCA